GCGGCUAUGGUUUAGUGGCAGAAUACGUCCUUGCCAAGGACGGGACGCGAGUUCGAUUCUCGCUAGCCGCACAA
rnacentral:tRNA from 1 species